rnacentral:rRNA from 1 species
GAUUAAGUUAUUAAGGGCGCACGGUGGAUGCCUUGGCACUAGAAGCCGAUGAAGGACGUUACUAACGACGAUAUGCUUUGGGGAGCUGUAAGUAAGCUUUGAUCCAGAGAUUUCCGAAUGGGGAAACCCAGCAUGAGUUAUGUCAUGUUAUCGAUAUGUGAAUACAUAGCAUAUCAGAAGGCACACCCGGAGAACUGAAACAUCUUAGUACCCGGAGGAAGAGAAAGAAAAUUCGAUUCCCUUAGUAGCGGCGAGCGAAACGGGAAGAGCCCAAACCAACAAGCUUGCUUGUUGGGGUUGUAGGACACUCUAUACGGAGUUACAAAGGACGACAUUAGACGAAUCAUCUGGAAAGAUGAAUCAAAGAAGGUAAUAAUCCUGUAGUCGAAAAUGUUGUCUCUCUUGAGUGGAUCCUGAGUACGACGGAGCACGUGAAAUUCCGUCGGAAUCUGGGAGGACCAUCUCCUAAGGCUAAAUACUCUCUAGUGACCGAUAGUGAACCAGUACCGUGAGGGAAAGGUGAAAAGCACCCCGGAAGGGGAGUGAAAUAGAACCUGAAACCGUGUGCUUACAAGUAGUCAGAGCCCGUUAAUGGGUGAUGGCGUGCCUUUUGUAGAAUGAACCGGCGAGUUACGAUUUGAUGCAAGGUUAAGCAGUAAAUGUGGAGCCGUAGCGAAAGCGAGUCUGAAUAGGGCGUUUAGUAUUUGGUCGUAGACCCGAAACCAGGUGAUCUACCCUUGGUCAGGUUGAAGUUCAGGUAACACUGAAUGGAGGACCGAACCGACUUACGUUGAAAAGUGAGCGGAUGAACUGAGGGUAGCGGAGAAAUUCCAAUCGAACCUGGAGAUAGCUGGUUCUCUCCGAAAUAGCUUUAGGGCUAGCCUCAAGUGAUGAUUAUUGGAGGUAGAGCACUGUUUGGACGAGGGGCCCCUCUCGGGUUACCGAAUUCAGACAAACUCCGAAUGCCAAUUAAUUUAACUUGGGAGUCAGAACAUGGGUGAUAAGGUCCGUGUUCGAAAGGGAAACAGCCCAGACCACCAGCUAAGGUCCCAAAAUAUAUGUUAAGUGGAAAAGGAUGUGGCGUUGCCCAGACAACUAGGAUGUUGGCUUAGAAGCAGCCAUCAUUUAAAGAGUGCGUAAUAGCUCACUAGUCGAGUGACACUGCGCCGAAAAUGUACCGGGGCUAAACAUAUUACCGAAGCUGUGGAUUGUCCUUUGGACAAUGGUAGGAGAGCGUUCUAAGGGCGUUGAAGCAUGAUCGUAAGGACAUGUGGAGCGCUUAGAAGUGAGAAUGCCGGUGUGAGUAGCGAAAGACGGGUGAGAAUCCCGUCCACCGAUUGACUAAGGUUUCCAGAGGAAGGCUCGUCCGCUCUGGGUUAGUCGGGUCCUAAGCUGAGGCCGACAGGCGUAGGCGAUGGAUAACAGGUUGAUAUUCCUGUACCACCUAUAAUCGUUUUAAUCGAUGGGGGGACGCAGUAGGAUAGGCGAAGCGUGCGAUUGGAUUGCACGUCUAAGCAGUAAGGCUGAGUAUUAGGCAAAUCCGGUACUCGUUAAGGCUGAGCUGUGAUGGGGAGAAGACAUUGUGUCUUCGAGUCGUUGAUUUCACACUGCCGAGAAAAGCCUCUAGAUAGAAAAUAGGUGCCCGUACCGCAAACCGACACAGGUAGUCAAGAUGAGAAUUCUAAGGUGAGCGAGCGAACUCUCGUUAAGGAACUCGGCAAAAUGACCCCGUAACUUCGGGAGAAGGGGUGCUCUUUAGGGUUAACGCCCAGAAGAGCCGCAGUGAAUAGGCCCAAGCGACUGUUUAUCAAAAACACAGGUCUCUGCUAAACCGUAAGGUGAUGUAUAGGGGCUGACGCCUGCCCGGUGCUGGAAGGUUAAGAGGAGUGGUUAGCUUCUGCGAAGCUACGAAUCGAAGCCCCAGUAAACGGCGGCCGUAACUAUAACGGUCCUAAGGUAGCGAAAUUCCUUGUCGGGUAAGUUCCGACCCGCACGAAAGGCGUAACGAUUUGGGCACUGUCUCAACGAGAGACUCGGUGAAAUCAUAGUACCUGUGAAGAUGCAGGUUACCCGCGACAGGACGGAAAGACCCCGUGGAGCUUUACUGUAGCCUGAUAUUGAAAUUCGGCACAGCUUGUACAGGAUAGGUAGGAGCCUUUGAAACGUGAGCGCUAGCUUACGUGGAGGCGCUGGUGGGAUACUACCCUAGCUGUGUUGGCUUUCUAACCCGCACCACUUAUCGUGGUGGGAGACAGUGUCAGGCGGGCAGUUUGACUGGGGCGGUCGCCUCCUAAAAGGUAACGGAGGCGCUCAAAGGUUCCCUCAGAAUGGUUGGAAAUCAUUCAUAGAGUGUAAAGGCAUAAGGGAGCUUGACUGCGAGACCUACAAGUCGAGCAGGGUCGAAAGACGGACUUA